AACGAACGCUGGCGGCAUGCCUAGCACGUGCAAGUCGAACGAGACCUUCGGGUCUAGUGGCGCACGGGUGCGUAACGCGUGGGAACCUGCCCUUAGGUUCGGAAUAACUCCCCGAAAGGGGUGCUAAUACCGGAUAAUGUCUUCGGACCAAAGAUUUAUCGCCUUUGGAUGGGCCCGCGUUGGAUUAGCUAGUUGGUAGGGUAAAAGCCUACCAAGGCGACGAUCCAUAGCUGGUCUGAGAGGAUGAUCAGCCACACUGGGACUGAGACACGGCCCAGACUCCUACGGGAGGCAGCAGUGGGGAAUAUUGGACAAUGGGCGAAAGCCUGAUCCAGCAAUGCCGCGUGAGUGAUGAAGGCCUUAGGGUUGUAAAGCUCUUUUACCCGGGAUGAUAAUGACAGUACCGGGAGAAUAAGCUCCGGCUAACUCCGUG
rnacentral:rRNA from 1 species